AUGGCCGCGGGGCGGCGCGGCCGGGCGGAAGUGCCCUGCUGGGGCGCCGACGCGUCCAUCAUGGCGGCCACGGCCGCCUCACCCGCUCUGAAGAGGCUGGACCUCCGCGACCCCGCGGCGCUCUUCGAGACCCACGGCGCGGAGGAGAUCCGCGGGCUGGAGCGCCAGGUGCGCGCCGAGAUCGAGCACAAGAAGGAGGAGCUGCGGCAGAUGGUGGGCGAGCGGUACCGCGACCUGAUCGAGGCGGCCGACACCAUCGGCCAGAUGCGCCGCUGCGCCGCGGGGCUGGUGGACGCCGUGAGGGCCACCGACCAGUACUGCGCCCGCCUCCGCCGGGCCGGCUCGGCCGCGCCCCGGCCGCCGCGGGACCCGCAGCCCCAGCAGCCAUCCCAGGAGAAGUUCUACAGCAUGGCUGCCCAGAUCAAGCUUCUCCUGGAAAUCCCGGAGAAGAUCUGGAGCUCCAUGGAGGCCUCGCGGUUUCUCCACGCCGCCCAGCUCUACCUGCUCUGCUGCUGCCUCCACAAGCUGCUGCAGCUGGAGUCUUCCAGUUCCCGACACAGCCCAGUCCUCUCCCGGUUCCCCAUACUCAUCCGGCAGGUGGCGGCCGCCAGCCACUUCCGGUCAGCCAUCCUGCACGAGAGCAAGAUGCUGCUCAAACGGCAAGCCGUGUCCGACCAGGCUGUGGCCGAGGCCCUGUGCUCUGUCAUGCUCUUGGAAGAGAGUUCUCCACGCCAAGCCCUGACCGACUUCCUGUUGGCCAGAAAGGCAGCAAUCCAGAAACUUCUCAACCAGCCUCACCACGGUGCUGGUAUCAAGGCGCAGAUUUGCUCGCUGGUGGAGCUGCUGGCCACCACUCUGAGCCAAGCGCACGCUCUCUUCUACACUUUACCAGAGGGGCUGCUGCCAGACCCCUCGCUGCCGUGUGGCCUGCUCUUCUCCACGCUGGACAGCAUCACCAGCCAGCACCCUAGCGGAAAGGGUGUUGGUGUUCUGCAGGACGAGAUGAAGCUGUGCAGCUGGUUCAAGCACCUGCCCGCGCCCGUUGUCGAGUUCCAGCCGGCUCUCCGGACGCUGGCGCAUCCCAUCAGCCAGGAGUACCUGAGGGACACGCUGCAGAAGUGGAUCCACGUGUGUAAUGAAGACAUCAGAAACGGGAUCAGCAGCCUGCUGAUGUACGUGACAAGCACGAAGGGGCUGGCGGGGAUCCGGGAUGCCGUCUGGGGGUUACUCGCCAACGAGUCGAUCCACCACAGCUGGGAUGUGGUCUGCCGGCGGCUCCUGGACAAGCCGCUCUUGUUCUGGGAGGACCUGAUGCAACAGCUGUUCCUUGACCGGCUGCAGACUCUCACCAAAGAAGGCUUUGACUCCAUUUCCAGUGGUUCCAAGGAGCUCCUCAUUUCAGCCUUGCGGGAACUUGAAGGCAGCAGCGCGGCUUCAGGCAGGCACCUCCACUCCGAGCACAACAUGGCUGUCUUCCUGUGGUCCGAGAGCCCCGGCGACCUGCCCCCUGAUGCCGCCUGGGUCAGCGUGGCCAGCCGGGCUCCGUUUCAGGGCAGCGGGCUCUCCAUGAAGGCACAGGCUGUUAGCCCUUGUGUGCAGAGCUUCUGCUCCGCCCUGGAUUCUAAACUGAAGGUGAAACUGGAGGACCUCCUGGCCUACCUCCCCUCUGGUGACCCGUCGCCCCGCCAGGACACCUCCCCCGCGGCAGCUGAGAGCUGCGCCUUCGACAGAUUUGCAGACGCGGAGACCGUGCAGGAGACGCUGCGGACGCACUCCACGGCCUGCAUCCAGGACAUCGCGGACUGCAUCCAGGCAGAGCUGCAGAGCAUCGAACAGGCUAUUCAAGGGCAGCAAGAUGUUCUCGAUGGGGCAAAGCUGCACUCCGCCCUCUUCAUGGCCCGACUAUGCCAGUCCUUGGGGGAGCUGUGUCCCCACCUGAAGCAGUGCAUCCUGGGAAGAUCGGGGAGCCCCGAGCAGCCCGCCCGGGACUCCCGGGCUCUGAAGAAACAGGGGAAGGGGAAGGCGCAGGAGGUCCUCCCUACACAGGCCAGGUGGCAGGACGUGAAAGAGCUCCUCCUGCAGCGGAGCGUGACAGGCUACCGGGUGUGGGGCUCGGCGGUCGUGAGGGUUCUGGCCCAUGGAUUCGCCCAGUCAUUACUCGUAGACGAUGCUGGCUCUGUCCUGGCCACAGCCACCAGCUGGGAGGAACUGGAAAUCCAGGAGGAAGCGGAGUCUGGCAGCAGCAUCACGUCCAAGAUCCGACUCCCUGUACAGCCGUCCUGGUAUGUCCAGUCCUUCCUGUUUAGCUUGUGCCAGGAAAUCAAUCGAGUUGGAGGCCAUGCCUUGCCAAAGGUAACCCUGCAGGAGAUGCUGAAAAGCUGCCUGGGUCAAGUAGUUGCCGCCUACGAGAGGCUCUCAGAAGCCAAGCAGCUGAAGAAAGAAGGUGCCUUUCCAAUGACCCAGAAUCGGGCACUGCAGCUGCUCUAUGAUCUGCGUUACCUCAGUGUCGUCCUGACAGCCAGGGGUGAAGAGAUGAAAAGCGGCCGCUGCAGACAGGACCCCAGAGUUGAGAAAGUGGCUGACUACCUGGAAACGCUCAUCGACCCAUUUGACCUGGACGUUUUCACACCCCACCUUCACAGCAACCUCAGCCGCCUGGUGCAGCGGACCUCCGUUCUCUUUGGACUGGUGACAGGUCUGGAGAACCAGUUCACCCCCAGGAGCAGUACGUUCAACUCCCAGGAAGCCCACAACAUCCUGCCGCUGGCGUCAAGCCAGAUCAGGUUUGGGCUUCUUCCACUGAGCAUGACAAGCACACGAAAGGCCAAGUCAGCUGGCGGAAGCAUGGAAACCAAAGCCCAGCGGCAGGUGGCGCCCCCGGCGCUCUCCCGAGCAGACGACCCCAGGCAGGCCGGUUCCCUGUUCAGGCAGCUGGUCGCUGACGAGGAAGACUCGGCCGCACCCUCGCUGUUCAAACUUGGGUGGCUCUCCAGCAUGACCAAGUGA
rnacentral:lncRNA from 1 species